GACGAACGCUGGCGGCGUGCCUAAUACAUGCAAGUAGAACGCUGAAGAGAGGAGCUUGCUCUUCUUGGAUGAGUUGCGAACGGGUGAGUAACGCGUAGGUAACCUGCCUGGUAGCGGGGGAUAACUAUUGGAAACGAUAGCUAAUACCGCAUAAAAUUGAUUAUUGCAUGAUAAUUAAUUGAAAGAUGCAACUGCAUCACUACCAGAUGGACCUGCGUUGUAUUAGCUAGUUGGUGAGGUAACGGCUCACCAAGGCGACGAUACAUAGCCGACCUGAGAGGGUGAUCGGCCACACUGGGACUGAGACACGGCCCAGACGCCUACGGGAGGCAGCAGUAGGGAAUCUUCGGCAAUGGGGGGAACCCUGACCGAGCAACGCCGCGUGAGGGAAGAAGGUUUUCGGAUCGUAAAGCUCUGUUGUAAGAGAAGAACGGGUGUGAGAGUGGAAAGUUCACACUGUGACGGUAGCUUACCAGAAAGGGACGGCUAACUACGUG
rnacentral:rRNA from 1 species